rnacentral:misc_RNA from 1 species
GCAAACUCCACUUUGUUUUUGAAUUUGAAUUGAAAGGUCCUAAACUUAUAUUUAUACAUUUAAUUGUAAGUUCUUUGAGCUUUAUUUCUAGUGGAUUAGCAUAAUUACAUUUAGUACGUAGUUUAUAUGCAAUCUAACAGCAAAUUAUAUGUUUGUUUGAUUCAAAAGCUGAGCAAAUUACCAUGGUCUGCAGAGAGGAGAUAAACAUAGAAUGGUACAUUCCAUAAUGAAGAUAUAUCCAUCUAGCAAAAAUCUUAUAUAAUCCCAAAGCUGCUCACCAAAGUUAAGAACUCAGACACUCGAGGAAACAAAACCAACAAAACAUGAAUUAAUUGCCUUCUAAUUUUGCCAAGACUCAGAUCAAAAUUCUUGAACAAAAAUUUUAGAUAUCUGACUCUUAAAUUUAACAAAACCAAUCAAACAAGGCUACGUACCAAAGCUCAGAUAGCUAGGACUCUCCAGACUUGAUUGAAUCCAGACUCAACUUAACUUGUUCAUGAGCCAACUCCAUCCUCUGCACAAACAACUCCAAUUCAGCUUGUUUCAACCUCUUCCACUUGUCCUCCAACUCCUUCAACUUCCCUUUCUCAAUCAUCCCCAUCUGCUGCCUCAGAAUCACCUUCACCCCCUCAGAUAAGCAGUCCAUCUCUAGCGACUCGCUCAAAAAUGGAUACAUUUCCCACAGUUCCUCCUCCGCAUCCUCUCCCUUCUCUUGCAUCUUUUCAUCACCCUUCACUUGAUGAUUCUCUUCAAUUUUCACUUGCCUGUUCGGAGCCUGCAUUUCCUUUCUGGGUCUCAAUUGAUUCCCCUUCCUUUGAUUUGCCAGCGCCAAGGUAACACCACCACCGCCACCGCCGUUGCUGCUAUUAACCUUGCCACUUCGAUUUACAGAAUCAUUUUUUUCAUUACUUUUGCCACCAUCCCAGAAUUUCUUCGAGAGCUCGAAAGAUUUGACAUCAUGGGGUUUAGAGAAAACAGGGUCUCGGCCAUUUUCACCUCUUUCGAGAUUGUUUUGGUAUUUUUUCUUCAGCCUUCUGAUUUUGUCUAUGAGUUGAUUCUUCGACACAUCCACAUGUAGAGAUUUCUUGAUGAAUUCAUGGAAAUCACCCAUAUCGGCAUAAGGAUCGGCGCCUUUCUCGGACUUGUACUGACUCAAGCCGUUUAAGAUGGCUAUCUCAUCGUCCUCGCUCCACAGCCGUUGGAUCACAGACCCCUUCUUCACCUCCUCCUCAUCGCCACCGCCGGUCGCCUUAUUUUUCUUACUUGGUCUUUCCCAGGCUAUGAUGUCGGAGUCCGCGGGUCGCUUUAAAACUGAUUUGUUAGGCUUUGAAGUGCGUUUAUGGAGCUUGAUGGUGAAGGCGGAAGGGGAAAGAGAUGGCUGAGUCGACUCGGAGUCUGACUCAGUAGCCGAGCUGGAUUUUGGAGGAGUUGCAGGGACAGCGGACUUGUUUAGCACAGGCGACUCCUGUGGCCCCUCAUCGUCGUCUUCUUUUACAUCAGCGACAUCGUUUUGCUCGUACACAACGCUGUCGUUUUCUUCGGUUGAGUCGUCUUCCUCUUCUUCUUCCUCUUCGGAAGAGGCAGGUGGCGGAUUUUCAGAGACACGCUUAAUAGCCAUGGAGGGUUUUCACUCGGUGGCCAGCUGCGAGAGAUUAUAUAGGCAAGGAUUUGUAGGGUUUGAUUUAGCUUCUAUUUCUUAAUUCCUACGAAUAGGCUUUU